rnacentral:lncRNA from 1 species
AUGAUUUGAAAGGAUAUUGUAGAAGCUUCAUCCAGGAACUUUAACAAAGGAUUUUUUUUUCUACUUAUUGAGCUUUAAGAAAAGGUACACUUUUUUCCUUUUCCAUUCAGUUUCUUAUUGUUUAACAUCCAAUUGAGUAAUUAAUGCCCCGAGGGAACUGUAUAAUAAAUAGUGUGUAUUUAUUUUGCAAAUGUUUAUUGUGCAUCUUCUAUGUUCAAAAACCUGCUAGGUUUAUGUAUAUACUUUUUAGAGUGUAAGGUCACAUCACUAUGUAUAUUAUUUUCUCCAGGAGUUUAUAUGUGAUUAUAAAUAGCCCAGCACAUACUAUUUCUUUUAGGAGC